rnacentral:rRNA from 1 species
AUUGAACGCUGGCGGCAGGCUUAACACAUGCAAGUCGAGCGGAGCGAGGGUGCUUGCACCUUAGCUUAGCGGCGGACGGGUGAGUAAUGCUUAGGAAUCUGCCUAUUAGUGGGGGACAACAUUCCGAAAGGAAUGCUAAUACCGCAUACGUCCUACGGGGGAAAGCAGGGGAUCUUCGGACCUUGCGCUAAUAGAUGAGCCUAAGUCGGAUUAGCUAGUUGGUGGGGUAAAGGCCUACCAAGGCGACGAUCUGUAGCGGGUCUGAGAGGAUGAUCCGCCACACUGGGACUGAGACACGGCCCAGACUCCUACGGGAGGCAGCAGUGGAGAAUAUUGGACAAUGGGCGGAAGCCUGAUCCAGCCAUGCCGCGUGUGUGAAGAAGGCCUUUUGGUUGUAAAGCACUUUAAGCGAGGAGGAGGCUACUGGUAUUAAUACUACUGGAUAGUGGACGUUACUCGCAGAAUAGGCACCGGCUAACUCUGUGCCAGCAGCCGCAGUAACAC